rnacentral:rRNA from 1 species
GAUGAACGCUGGCGGCGUGCCUAAUACAUGCAAGUCGAGCGAACAGACGAGGAGCUUGCUCCUCUGACGUUAGCGGCGGACGGGUGAGUAACACGUGGAUAACCUACCUAUAAGACUGGGAUAACUUCGGGAAACCGGAGCUAAUACCGGAUAACAUGUUGAACCGCAUGGUUCAACAGUGAAAGACGGUCUUGCUGUCACUUAUAGAUGGAUCCGCGCCGCAUUAGCUAGUUGGUAAGGUAACGGCUUACCAAGGCAACGAUGCGUAGCCGACCUGAGAGGGUGAUCGGCCACACUGGAACUGAGACACGGUCCAGACUCCUACGGGAGGCAGCAGUAGGGAACCUUCCGCAAUGGGCGAAAGCCUGACGGAGCAACGCCGCGUGAGUGAAGAAGGUCUUCGGAUCGUAAAACUCUGUUAUUAGGGAAGAACAAAUGUGUAAGUAACUAUGCACGUCUUGACGGUACCUAAUCAGAAAGCCACGGCUAACUACGUG